AACGGUCUAUACCUGCGGUACCUGCGGAGGGAUCGUUACAUGGCGGAGGAGGUGGGCACCUAGUAAAACAAAACCCUAGGUGUGUUGCCUACCACGCUUUCUACCCUUGUCUAUUUGCACCUUUUGUCGUUCCCUCGGUGGGUCUUGAACCUGCCGGCGGCAACUUUCAAAAACCUUUUGUAGUUAGUAUCUAAUUCUUCUGAUCAAAUAUUCAAUCGUUACAACUUUUAACAACGGAUC
rnacentral:misc_RNA from 1 species